UACGUAGGGGGCGAGCGUUACCCGGAUUUACUGGGCGUAAAGCGUGCGCAGGCGGUGAUGUAAGACCGAUGUGAAAUCCCCGGGCUUAACCUGGGAACUGCAUUGGUGACUGCAUUGCUGGAGUAUGGCAGAGGGGGGUGGAAUUCCACGUGUAGCAGUGAAAUGCGUAGAGAUGUGGAGGAACACCGAUGGCGAAGGCAGCCCCCUGGGCCAAUACUGACGCUGAGGAGCGAAAGCGUGGGUAGCAAACAGG
rnacentral:rRNA from 1 species